AUUAUCUGUCAACAUCUUUGUUUCUGUGCAGAUGUCUCAUUUUGUUGGAAGCUUAAUUUCAUAAAUGUUUUUUUAAUAUAUAUAUUGCUAUUUGCUUCUUUCAGUCAGCAUGUAUUGCAAGGAUCUGUUUUUGUGCAUUUGUCUUUUUUCAUUGGAGCAUAAUCACCUUCAAUAUUAUUAUUUUCAGGACCUAGCACUUGUCCAAUGAAUCUGUUAUCAUUAAAUUUUGAGUGCUUAUGCACUUUGGUCCCAGGUUUAAAUAGAUCAAGGAAUUAAUGGAGCAUAGCCUCAAACUAAAAUUCAGUAAUUUGAUUUUUGUGAUUGUCUUAUUAAUGAAAUCUGUAUUGGAUAUCAUCUCUAUAUGUAAAAUAUAUAAGGGAAUUGAAACUUAUGUUGAAUGGCAUAAUUUGUUUGACUGAGAGUGUAUGUCUUUAUUUUUGAUAGUUUCAUCUGAUGGAAAUCUACACAUAAGCUACUUUUUUUCAAUAGAACUUCCUAUUACCUAUCAAAAAGAAGGAAAUCUACACGUAAGCUUCCAUGAGAGGGAAAAUAUAAUAAAAAUGAAAAAAAAGUGUACUGGCUUGAAUUCACUAAUAUGAAUGGAGUGAAGAGUGAAGUUGUGUGUUAAAAACUUAUGAACUAUGAAGUGCUUAUGUAAUCUAGCAAUAAUCAGCGAACAAGGCUGCAAUUUUGGAGAGACUAACCUAACCUGCAAUUUUGGAGAGACUAAGUCCCACUUGAACACAUGUUUACAAGAAAAUGUUUUUAAAGAACAUUGGUCUAAUUUUCACAAUGAUUAAUUGAUAAGGACUAGGAUGGUAGCAUUGUCUUUAUGUUGAAUUGAAAUCUUAUUGCAAGGAAAAAAAGAAAGAUAUUUUUUACUAUUGGCAACAUUACACUCAUUAUGUGAAAGGAAGAUUUUAUAUUAUUUUCUAUCAAGUGAUUUGAGUGAGAUGAAUGGAUGAGACCCAUUAUGUUCAAGUUGGAUGUUCAUAUGAAAUCUGCCUUUCAGUAUUAUGAUAGCUCUGGCUUUCCUAACACUUAAAAAUGUAAAUAUGUAUGACUGAGCUCAAUGCAUUGGGUGUUCAGCCAAGAAAAUGAGCAGGGAGGAAGCAAAGAUCCAAAGGGAUUUUGCAAUAUAUUCUGGAUGGCGAAUACAUUUUAAUGUUGAAUGGUAUAAAGCAAAAGAGAGGGCUGCAAAGCCUACAAUUAAGCUUAAGCUGGUGGCAGCCAUAGUUCUUGUUUAAGAAGAAGGGAGUAGCUCAAAUUUGUGAAAGUAAUUGCUGUGGAAGGUGGAAAUAGCAGACCAUUUAGAAGAUGUACACCGGCUUGUGGACAAGACAAAGAAGGUUUAUUUGAGGAUGCUGGACAAACUUAUCAUAGGGUCCAUAAUGGCUUCUAUGUCGUACAUGAGAGCUAAGUGGUCCAAUAUGCUGACGAAUUGGACUGUAAAGUAGAAAUUUUUGCUUUGUUUUUAUUUUGUGACAGGUGUAACUGUACUGACUGUUUCUGAAGUUUAUGACACCGUGGGGGUUGGCUGCUGGGAUUGCUAGGCAGUGAGUGACAACCAAAGGUGUUUUGAAGACGCGAGCGUUGUAAAUGGGGGACCGCUACAACUUAUAAUAGAAGAGAUGAGACCAUAGCAGCAGAAAUUGAUUACAGAAAAGGGGAUAAAAAUUUAUGACUAGUCCAUAAGAUAAAAGUAACCUGAAUCUAAUUUAGAACAGAUAAAAAGGUUCGGCCUUGAUGCGAUGACAAGUGCUUCCACCAAAAGCAAGAGGUUGAGGGUUUGAGUCUGGGAAUAAGCCUCUCCAAAAAUUAUUAGGGAUAAGGUUGCCUAACAUGACCUAUCCAAGAACCCGGAAAAGUGGGAGUUUUGUGCAAUAAGUAUGACCUUUAUAAUAUUCCAGUUAGGAACGCUCACAAGCACAACCAAUACUCAGUAGAUCUAAACAAGCAGAUUAGAAACUCACUGCAAAAUGGAGAGGUUGCCGGUGAAGGAGUGCAAAUGGAAGGGGCAUGUCUCUUCUGUGUGAAUUCACUCUCUGCAUAUCAACCUCUUUUACCUCCCAAGUUGGGAGACGAUGGGUGGGGGUGCUCUCUGGAUUGAAAAUACAAUUGAAUUAUGUUCUUUAUGGCAUAACUUGAUCAGUGGAAGGAACAUGUAUGGAGUGGUAUCACCUCUACAUGCAGAUACUGCUAUAUCAUUUGCAUUCUUUGGAUCAUCUUUUAUGGUAAGAAUUGCUUGCUUAAUGACGUACUGGUUCUUGAAAUAAUUUUUGUAAUUGGCAAUGUGAUAAUUCACAUCUCCAGAGUCCAGGGUAAAUUAUUGACUUUUAAGCAAUCAUUGGGAAAUCUUUAAGAGUCUAAAUUUGUAGUCUAUGGGUUGUCUUUUGGUCCUCCCAUUGUGUGUGUUGCCUCAUACCAUGGGAAUUCCACAGUUUUGGCAAAACAAGUACCAUGUCAUUAGUUUUGCUUUAAUGUUAUUGCCUGAUUCAGUAAGUAUUGUAGUAACAUGAAAUGCAGGAGAUGAUUUCAAUUCA